AAUGUUGAAGACCAUAAGUGAAAUGGUCAUCGCUUCACAGAGACAAAAAUUCAGAAGCCUGUCCCUGUCUCCAUCGCAGAGGUAGGGGCACAGUCUGCAGAAAACAAGCAGUGAUAUAUAUAACAUAAUCACUGUCCAUAGGAGACACUAGUAAGAGAUUUCACCCGGCUCAACUGGCAUUGCCUAACACAUCAUUUCUUAUGGAUCCCUGGGGUUUCCUCAGAAAAAUAUCUUUGGAGAACAAGUCACCAACUGGCUUUAUUCAGAUUCUUUGUCAACCUCACACAGUAAAAU
rnacentral:lncRNA from 1 species